CGUAAACUUCUAGAAGUAUUCUCCUCCACUGUUCUGCAACUCACCAACGUCUGGAAGAUUUUACUUCUCUAAACUCCCUGACCACCUCUGCAACAAAUCCCCAUUUACUACCUUUUACCUUGUCUGUGUCUCACUUUUGGCUCCUCGAUGUCAUCUUCUGUGAUGGACUCUCCGGUCGACUCCAGCAUGCCCUUCAGCUCCUCUAGGUCUAUGUAUCCGUCCCCAUUCCUGAUAUUUCAAACAUCAUGAGUCAGCUGUUAAUGUGGCUUGGCUUUCGUUUUUGUCUUAUGAAAAGUUGAAUUUGACGCACCAUCAUAACCAAGAACUCAUCGAAGUCUACCGUACCGCUGCCUGUCGAUGCACACACACAAGGGGUUGGAUUCUGUCCCAGCAUCCUCAUCACCUUCCCCAACUCCUUGGUGCUGAUGCAGCCGUCCUCUGCAUCCUGGAUGAAGAUGUCGAACGCAGCCUUGAACUCUGGAAGAGGACACAGCAACGAUUACUGUGUGACAACCAGAUGGGUGUUUAAAGAAGCGAAAUUAGACUAUUUAUAGUUUGUAUUCAACAUACGAAGCAAAGGGUUCCUUGUUCAAAUUGGGAAUGUGGAGUUUGCACGUUCUCCCCAUGCAUGCAUGAGCUCACAAAGUCCAAAGACAUGCCUGUGAGUGUAAUUUCCCUACCUCUCCUUUAAAUUCAGUGAACAUUACAUGCAAAGUCUGCCCCUACUCCUCCUCGUAAUCAUCAUGGCAUGUCAUACCACAGAGCAGAGACCUUUUAUGGCCCAGAAACCAAAUUUAGUCCCUGGUACCUUCGGUUAAAACGAUUCUUGGAUGAGUUCCAGCUGUGUUUCAGCCUGGAUAUGAGAUAAAUCCACCUUACAGGGGAAAGUUCCUCUGAUGGGAGGGUCAGGGUUUAUGUAUGUCCAGCAGCUGGUGAUAACAUUUGUAUCAGUGAUGUCAUCCUUAAAAGAGGCUCACACAAGGAGGGUGUGAACAUGUCGUAUUUCUUUUUAAACCUAUUUCAUUGUUUUUAACAAAUCCUGAGAGGUAAUUUGAAAAGACACUUCAAUUGUGCUUAUCGGAUUGUUAGAGGUGGAAAUACUAAAUCAGUGUUACAUGAGGUUGUUUUUUUAUGAUUGUUCAAUAACAGGAAGCAGUGCUCUCACCAUUUUUCUGCUCCUCCGUCAAGUUCUCAACCUAAAGGGACAAAAUCAGGAUGAUUAUUUCAUAUUAAAAUCUUUAAUUUGUUCUUAUUCUAUGUUGAAGUUAGAGGGAAGUGCAAUUAAACAGAUAUGUCUGUUAAAGUUUGACCAUGUCGGUUGCCGUCUGAAGUCUCUGUGCAGGUUUAAAGAUACUACAACAGACACAUUAAAGCUCCAGUGAGGAAUUUUUAACUGAUUGUGAAAGACAUCAAAAUGAAUACUGCCACCUCUU